GUUAAAGGGUCAAGUGGCAAGUGAUGAGAAAGACUUCUAUCUGAGACCCUGCCAAUCUGAAUAAUGAAUACUGAAAGCUCGAUGGACUAAUAGUCUGACUCAGUACAGGGCAGUUUCACCUCUUGAUAUAGAAAAGGCUGUGAUCUGCAAAGAGAGUUCUGGUGAAACAAUUAUUCCUGUUUCCAUGCAAAACAGCAGUCACUACACUACCUACUAGCUCAAGAUCCACCCGCCAAAAAGCCUUCUGAAGUAGCUUUUGUGUAGUAAAGCAACACAACAGGAAGAGUCUUAUGAACAAUCAUACAGACAAAAGGCACUGGCCACUGAUGCGGAAGCCUUGAUAAAUUGUUGAUGAAGGCCCAUUUUCUGUCCUAAGAACACUUUCUUAACUUAUUUGAUCAGUUCCACACAAGUGCCUCAUUUUCUCUCACACAUCCUUAUGUCACAAAAAACUGACACUACACUGACGCCAGCGACGAUGAUGAU